rnacentral:tRNA from 1 species
GGGGCUGUAGCUCAGUGGUAGAGUGCUCACCUAGCACGUGCGAGGCACUAGGUUCAAUCCUCAGCGCCA